rfam:Roseomonas sp. M3 M3_S294_L001_R1_001_(paired)_contig_91, whole genome shotgun sequence.
GGGUGCAGUUCCAGGAAUGGAGCGGGCAGGGCGUAGCGUUGGUCGGGCCGCCAGCG